rnacentral:rRNA from 1 species
AACGAACGCUGGCGGCAGGCUUAACACAUGCAAGUCGAGUGCCCCGCAAGGGGAGCGGCAGACGGGUGAGUAACGCGUGGGAAUCUACCCAUCUCUACGGAAUAACGCAUGGAAACAUGUGCUAAUACCGUAUACGUCCUUCGGGAGAAAGAUUUAUCGGAGAUGGAUGAGCCCGCGUUGGAUUAGCUAGUUGGUGGGGUAAAGGCCUACCAAGGCGACGAUCCAUAGCUGGUCUGAGAGGAUGAUCAGCCACACUGGGACUAAGACACGGCCCAGACUCCUACGGGAGGCAGCAGUGGGGAAUAUUGGACAAUGGGCGCAAGCCUGAUCCAGCCAUGCCGCGUGAGUGAUGAAGGCCCUAGGGUUGUAAAGCUCUUUCACCGGUGAAGAUAAUGACGGUAACCGGAGAAGAAGCCCCGGCUAACUUCGUGCCAGCCGCCGCCGUAAUAC